UUCUCCUGGAAACGGGUGGUAAUGCCGGAUGUUCCACAUGAUCGCAUGUGAUUGUGGGAAAGAUUCUAUCGGCGUGGGAUGGGGUCGCGUCCUAUCAGCUUGUUGGUGAGGUAACGGCUCACCAAGGCUUCGACGGGUAGCCGGCCUGAGAGGGCGACCGGCCACAUUGGGACUGAGAUACGGCCCAGACUCCUACGGGAGGCAGCAGUGGGGAAUAUUGCACAAUGGGCGCAAGCCUGAUGCAGCGACGCCGCGUGAGGGAUGGAGGCCUUCGGGUUGUAAACCUCUUUUGUUUGGGAGCAAGCCUUCGGGUGAGUGUACCUUUCGAAUAAGCGCCGGCUAACUACGUGCCAGCAGCCGCGGUAAUACGUAGGGCGCAAGCGUUAUCCGGAUUUAUUGGGCGUAAAGGGCUCGUAGGCGGCUCGUCGCGUCCGGUGUGAAAGUCCAUCGCUUAACGGUGGAUCUGCGCCGGGUACGGGCGGGCUGGAGUGCGGUAGGGGAGACUGGAAUUCCCGGUGUAACGGUGGAAUGUGUAGAUAUCGGGAA
rnacentral:rRNA from 1 species